UAAAAAUCGUAACAAGGUCUCCGUUGGUGAACCAGCGGAGGGAUCAUUGCUGGAACGCGCCCCAGGCGCACCCAGAAACCCUUUGUGAACUUAUACCUUACUGUUGCCUCGGCGCAUGCCGGCCCCCCUGGGGGCCCCUCCUUCUGGAGGAGCAGGCACGCCGGCGGCCAACCUAACUCUUGUUUUUACACUGAAACUCUGAGAAUAAAACAUAAAUGAAUCAAAACUUUCAACAACGGAUCUCUUGGUUCUGGCAUCGAUGAAGAACGCAGCGAAAUGCGAUAAGUAAUGUGAAUUGCAGAAUUCAGUGAAUCAUCGAAUCUUUGAACGCACAUUGCGCCCUCUGGUAUUCCGGAGGGCAUGCCUGUUCGAGCGUCAUUUCAACCCUCAAGCCUGGCUUGGUGAUGGGGCACUGCUUUUACCCAAGAGCAGGCCCUGAAAUUCAGUGGCGAGCUCGCCAGGACCCCGAGCGCAGUAGUUAAACCCUCGCUCUGGAAGGCCCUGGCGGUGCCCUGCCGUUAAACCCCCAACUUCUGAAAAUUGACCUCGGAUCAGGAGAAUACCCG
rnacentral:rRNA from 1 species